rnacentral:rRNA from 1 species
UACGAAGGGUGCAAACGUUGCUCGGAAUCAUUGGGCGUAAAGCGCACGUAGGCGGCUUCGCAAGUCGGAUGUGAAAUCCCUCGGCUCAACCAAGGACGUGCAUCCGAAACUGCGAAGCUUGAGUACAGAAGAGGAUCGCGGAAUUCCCGGUGUAGAGGUGAAAUUCGUAGAUAUUCGCAAGAACACCAGUGGCGAAGGCGGCUCACUGGCCCGGAACUGACGCUGAGGUGCGAAAGCGUGGGGAGCAAACAGG